GGAGAUAUAGACAUACAUUCCAUCAUAAUUCUUCCUUCCUAUUUAUAUUUUCCUUUCUAGCUUCCAUAUCAUUAUUUUAAUAACUAGUUGUUGCUUGGUCUUUCUCUUCUGACUCUCUGUUCUAUCUUUCAAAAUAGACGUGCAGUAGUAUAGAAAUGGUAAAUUCUCUUUUUCGGUUUUCCCCCUCUGUUUUUAACUCCAAAAGACUUUAUUUUUUUGGUGGGUAAAAUAAAGAAAAAUAAAAUGAACGUGUUCUAGUACAUGUAUAUAUUCAUUUUUUAUCUUCUUCUUGUCAAUGAAUUGGAUCGUUGUACUAAGCCAUUUUUAUGUCAACAAACGGUCCAGAGAAUUUUGUUUCGUGUAGAAGCAUCGAGGAACAUCUAGUACUGGCAAUAAUGUACAGGGAGUGCCCGUAUGGUCAUGCCCAGGCGAUGAGUCACAGACUCACAAUGGUCGCCCCACCCCCUUUUCACCCAUCAGCACUUGGGGCCUUAUGCUAAGGAAACAUAAGACAAGAGCAAGCAUCAAUUAUGAGAAUUAUUUUUCUUUACUAUGACCAUCCUCUUAAGAUUUUUAAGUUGUUUAUGGUUUUGGGAACCCUGCAGAUUCCUGAAAUCCCACCAUCAUUUGGUUAAAUGUUUCUUUAUAUGCAACAAAAUUUGCGAUGCUCCACACC